AAGUCGUAACAAGGUUUCCGUAGGUGAACCUGCGGAAGGAUCAUUAACACGUAUCCACGUCUCACCCACGUCCACCGUUUUCACCCUCCCUCUGCUGCACAUGAGUUGGCGGCAGCGACAGCCAUAGUGAGGAGUUCUCGCGGACUCAACUGUCGCCGCCUACUUGGGUUCGCCCAGACAACUGGAGUGCACUGGAGGCACCUUCCUGGCCCUUGGCUCUCCACUAUGAGCGUGGGGUCGGGAUACCAUAUAUUUACCAUUUUCACACUUUUUUUGCAAGUUGACUUUUUUAUGGUAUGCAUUCACGCAAGUGAGUACAUGCACGUUUAUUAAUUGAACGUUAAAGAAACAACUCUGAGCAAUGGAUGUCUAGGUUCUC
rnacentral:misc_RNA from 1 species